GGUCAAGUGAAGAAGCGCAUACGGUGGAUGCCUUGGCAGUCAGAGGCGAUGAAAGACGUGGUAGCCUGCGAUAAGCUUUGGGGAGUCGGCAAACAGACUGUGAUCCAGAGAUCUCUGAAUGGGGGAACCCACUCAGCAUAAGCUGAGUAUCUUGUACUGAAUACAUAGGUGCAAGAGGCGAACCAGGGGAACUGAAACAUCUAAGUACCCUGAGGAAAAGAAAUCAACCGAGAUUCCCUUAGUAGUGGCGAGCGAACGGGGACCAGCCCUUAAGUUGAUUUGAGAUUAGUGGAACGCUCUGGAAAGUGCGGCCAUAGUGGGUGAUAGCCCCGUACACGAAAAUCUCUUAUCAAUGAAAUCGAGUAGGACGGAGCACGAGAAACUUUGUCUGAAUAUGGGGGGACCAUCCUCCAAGGCUAAAUACUACUGACUGACCGAUAGUGAACCAGUACCGUGAGGGAAAGGCGAAAAGAACCCCGGAGAGGGGAGUGAAAUAGAACCUGAAACCGUAUGCGUACAAGCAGUGGGAGCCUACUUUGUUAGGUGACUGCGUACCUUUUGUAUAAUGGGUCAGCGACUUAUAUUCAGUGGCGAGCUUAACCGAAUAGGGGAGGCGUAGCGAAAGCGAGUCUUAAUAGGGCGUUUAGUCGCUGGGUAUAGACCCGAAACCGGGCGAUCUAUCCAUGGGCAGGUUGAAGGUUAGGUAACACUGACUGGAGGACCGAACCGACUACCGUUGAAAAGUUAGCGGAUGACCUGUGGAUCGGAGUGAAAGGCUAAUCAAGCUCGGAGAUAGCUGGUUCUCCUCGAAAGCUAUUUAGGUAGCGCCUCAUGUAUCACUGUAGGGGGUAGAGCACUGUUUCGGCUAGGGGGUCAUCCCGACUUACCAAACCGAUGCAAACUCCGAAUACCUACAAGUGCCGAGCAUGGGAGACACACGGCGGGUGCUAACGUCCGUCGUGAAAAGGGAAACAACCCAGACCGUCAGCUAAGGUCCCAAAGUCAUGGUUAAGUGGGAAACGAUGUGGGAAGGCUUAGACAGCUAGGAGGUUGGCUUAGAAGCAGCCACCCUUUAAAGAAAGCGUAAUAGCUCACUAGUCGAGUCGGCCUGCGCGGAAGAUGUAACGGGGCUCAAACCAUGCACCGAAGCUACGGGUAUCACCUUUUGGUGAUGCGGUAGAGGAGCGUUCUGUAAGCCUGUGAAGGUGAGUUGAGAAGCUUGCUGGAGGUAUCAGAAGUGCGAAUGCUGACAUGAGUAACGACAAUGCGAGUGAAAAACUCGCACGCCGAAAGACCAAGGUUUCCUGCGCAACGUUAAUCGACGCAGGGUUAGUCGGUCCCUAAGGCGAGGCUGAAAAGCGUAGUCGAUGGAAAACAGGUUAAUAUUCCUGUACUUCCAGUUAUUGCGAUGGAGGGACGGAGAAGGUUAGGCCAGCCUGGCGUUGGUUGUCCAGGUUUAAGGUGGUAGGCUGAAAUCUUAGGCAAAUCCGGGAUUUCAAGGCCGAGAGCUGAUGACGAGUUGCCUUUAGGCGACGAAGUGGUUGAUACCAUGCUUCCAAGAAAAGCUCCUAAGCUUCAGAUAACUGGGAACCGUACCCCAAACCGACACAGGUGGUUAGGUAGAGAAUACCAAGGCGCUUGAGAGAACUCGGGUGAAGGAACUAGGCAAAAUGGCACCGUAACUUCGGGAGAAGGUGCGCCGGCGAGGGUGAAGGACUUGCUCCGUAAGCUCAUGCCGGUCGAAGAUACCAGGCCGCUGCGACUGUUUAUUAAAAACACAGCACUCUGCAAACACGAAAGUGGACGUAUAGGGUGUGACGCCUGCCCGGUGCCGGAAGGUUAAUUGAUGGGGUUAGCGCAAGCGAAGCUCUUGAUCGAAGCCCCGGUAAACGGCGGCCGUAACUAUAACGGUCCUAAGGUAGCGAAAUUCCUUGUCGGGUAAGUUCCGACCUGCACGAAUGGCGUAACGAUGGCGGCGCUGUCUCCACCCGAGACUCAGUGAAAUUGAAAUCGCUGUGAAGAUGCAGUGUAUCCGCGGCUAGACGGAAAGACCCCGUGAACCUUUACUAUAGCUUUGCACUGGACUUUGAAUUUGCUUGUGUAGGAUAGGUGGGAGGCUUUGAAGUGGGGACGCCAGUUCUCAUGGAGCCAUCCUUGAAAUACCACCCUGGCAACUUUGAGGUUCUAACUCAGGUCCGUUAUCCGGAUCGAGGACAGUGUAUGGUGGGUAGUUUGACUGGGGCGGUCUCCUCCCAAAGAGUAACGGAGGAGUACGAAGGUGCGCUCAGACCGGUCGGAAAUCGGUCGUAGAGUAUAAAGGCAAAAGCGCGCUUGACUGCGAGACAAACACGUCGAGCAGGUACGA
rnacentral:rRNA from 1 species